rnacentral:rRNA from 1 species
GACGAACCGUGCGAACGUUGUUCGGAUUCACUGGGCUUAAAGGGCGCGUAGGCGGCUUGCCAAGUCAGGGGUGAAAUCUUUCGGCUCAACCGGAAAAGUGCCUUUGAUACUGGCGAGCUAGAGGGAGGUAGGGGUGCGUGGAACUUCUGGUGGAGCGGUGAAAUGCGUAGAUAUCAGAAGGAACGCCGGUGGCGAAAGCGACGCACUGGAUCUCUACUGACGCUGAGGCGCGAAAGCCAGGGGAGCGAACGGG